CAAGAACCUACGUAUAUGGUUACCACAUAAUUCAUCCCUUUGACCACAAAUGCUCAAGAAAAACUUAUGGUUUAAAUGUCAACCUUGGAUGAGUCAUCCAUAUUGUAUUUCCACAUUUCUCAUCCAUCACAUGGAUUACCCAGGCUCAGGGUUUACUAAAUUGAAAUACAGUGAUACAUUAACUCAUGUAAUCUAGAGGGGUUAAUCUUAUCUUGAUCCACACAUAGACUUUGCAAGUACUUGACUGUACCAAAUAGCCUUCCAUCGC
rnacentral:lncRNA from 1 species